AGUGAGCGCGGAUGAGCUCAAAUUUAAAAUCUGGCUGGUUUACUAGUCCGAAUUGUAGUUUAAAGAAGCGUUUUCGGUGGCAGCCUGGGUAUAAAUCCUUUGGAACAGGGUAUCAUAGAGGGUGAGAAUCCCGUCUUUGACUCAGUGCAUGCUACUAUGUGAUACGUUUUCAAAGAGUCGAGUUGUUUGGGAAUGCAGCUCAAAAUGGGUGGUAAAUUUCAUCUAAGGCUAAAUAUUGGCGAGAGACCGAUAGCGAACAAGUACCGUGAGGGAAAGAUGAAAAGAACUUUGAAAAGAGAGUUAAACAGUGCGUGAAAUUGUUGAAAGGGAAACGCUUGACACCAGUCAUGCGAGCGGAAAAUCAGUCUUUUGCAGUGGGGAGUUGUGUGGGUUCGGACCGCAAGGCCGGCCUGUGCUGCAUCUCUGCUGUAAGUGAUGCACUUUUUCGUUUGCAGGCCAACAUCAGUUUCUUCUGCUGGACAAAACUCUUGAGAAGGUAGCAGCUUUGGCUGUGUUAUAGCUCUUGAGCGAUACAGUGGAGGGGACUGAGGUUUUCGCAGCGCGUGCUCUCGGGCAAGGCUGAUUGGGUGCUAUGGGAUCGUUCGGUGUACAAUGCAUGCAUUUUGCGCCGUGUCUUUUCUAUACUCGCUCAACUCGGCUCUCCGCGC
rnacentral:rRNA from 1 species